UGAGAGUAAAGCAUUCCAAGGGUCUGCAGC
rnacentral:piRNA from 1 species